GUCGAACGCUGGCGGCGUGCUUAACACAUGCCAGUCGAACGGAAAGGCCCUGCUUUUGUGGGGUGCUCGAGUGGCGAACGGGUGAGUAACACGUGAGUAACCUGCCCUUGACUUUGGGAUAACUUCAGGAAACUGGGGCUAAUACCGGAUAGGAGCUCCUGCUGCAUGGUGGGGGUUGGAAAGUUUCGGCGGUUGGGGAUGGACUCACGGCUUAUCAGCUUGUUGGUGGGGUAGUGGCUUACCAAGGCUUUGACGGGUAGCCGGCCUGAGAGGGUGACCGGCCACAUUGGGACUGAGAUACGGCCCAGACUCCUACGGGAGGCAGCAGUGGGGAAUAUUGCACAAUGGGCGGAAGCCUGAUGCAGCAACGCCGCGUGCGGGAUGACGGCCUUCGGGUUGUAAACCGCUUUCGCCUGUGACGAAGCGUGAGUGACGGUAAUGGGUAAAGAAGCACCGGCUAACUACGU
rnacentral:rRNA from 1 species